UGUACAGCAUUUUUCCAAAUUCCUACUGAUGUUACUCUAUUUACUAUAGAUAUUCUGCUACUAACAUUUUUAUUUCUGUUUCCAAACCUGUCUCCUUUCUGAUCCGUGUAAACACAGCCUGCAGUUCAGCCGAAUAAAUCCCUGUAUUUUUAAUAACAUGAUUCUUGGCUGUAGCCGAGUCAUUUCCAGCUUCUUUGUUGCGUCUGGGAGAGCAAUUUUUUUUGUUUUUACAGAAUUUGAAUAAACCAAAUUGGAUAAUUUUAACGGAUUUUCAAUUGACUUAUGUAGAAGAAAAUGUUGAGCAUCACGUUGCAUGUGAGUAGUUCUGGUUUUACAGCUUCUUGUUCAAAUAAAUGGUGGAAUUUUGGUGAUUUUUAAAAAGAUAACAAGACUUUAAUGUCCGAUAGCAAGUUUUUGGGUUCAGAGAGUUCAGUAUUCUCUUCAAAAUAUACUUCCAAAGUGUCUAGUGUUGAAUUAAACAUAUUUCUGAUGUUGAAACUGAGUGUUUUAGUGCCAAUAACUCAACAUACUGUGUCAGUAUUAGUUCAUGUUGUAAUUUGUUGAUGUCUACCACAGUAAAAUGGAAGGUUUUUUCCUCUAAACUGUUCUUAAUUCUGAUUUUUCUGUAGAUUUAUGUGUUGUAUGUCAUUGCAUUCCACCUGUCUGAUUUGGUAGAAUUUAAAUUGGCGCCUCAUGCAUCAAAUAUCUCAACCUGUUUUCAUGCAGAUUAAGUCCUGAGCCAGUCCCAGCAUGCAGAAUCCUCACAGAUAAACAUAUUUACAUCAAUUUGCAGUUUCCAGUUCACUAAACCUGAAUUUUUUUGACCUUUGGGAGGAAAACAAGUCGAAACAAACUCGUUCCAAACCCAGGAAUGCCUCCAGUUCGAGAAGCGUGGAGUUCAACGAGGCGCCGUUCUGCUGGAACCUCCCAACAUCAGCAAACACGACAUGAACAUCUGCAACAAAAGCUAAUCAGCAGUGGCAGAAGAAGAGUUGGAUUUCUUGGGAAAGUGUGCUGCAGAAGUGGACGUCUGUCAGGUAGCUUUUACCUGAGCUCAAGUACGAACCUGCUACCUGGAGGCGCAGCCAAUCAGAGCGCAGGACGGGGCUGGCGGUCCAAUCAGGUGCAAGGAGGGAGGCGGGACUCACCUGAGAGACCCCAUUGAAUAAACAUCAGGAGUCACACAGGAGCUGAUUUUAAAGACAGUGAUGGAAUUAUGAAUGGUGCACAUGAAAACACAAGAUUCCACAUUUCAUGACAAAGUCUGGGUCAUACAAGUAACAACAGCAGCAAAUAUGAAUUAUGAAUUCAUCUGAAUCACAGAUUAAGAUCAUGCAUGACGAGGAAAUCAAGCUUUUCUGGAGUCACCAUUAAGAUACUAGAUGGGAUUCAUUGCUUUUUGAAGUUUAACCACGUGAGUAUUCUGGGUUCCUGUGCAGUGGAGUGUUUUUUUUUUAUAUAAUAUUUAAUAAUAUACAUGAUAUUUUUUAUGAUAUUAAAAGCAAAAUAUUUUGCUGUCACAUUUUUGACUGUAGUUUCUAGAACCAUGUGCUGUCAUUUUACAUAUUGUCUCCGUUUUGAUAAAUUGAAGAUGAUGUUAAUUUAAAUCACAGAAAAAAAGCAUUCAUCUAUUUCAGGGGUGUCCAACAUGAGGCCAGUGGGCCAAAGGCGGCCCUCCAGAGGGUCCAAUCCGGUCCUCAAAGUGUAAAAAUUCCAGAGAAGACAUUAACUGCAGAUUGUAAACUAGUAAAACUAUAAAUUUAAAAUCAUUUCUAGACGAUGACAAGUUGUUUGGAUCAUAAAGUAAAAUACUAGAUUGAUCAUUGUUCUUUUGUCGUGUCUCCUUGUCUCAUUUUUGUAAUAUUUUGUCUUUUUUGUCUUUUUUGUCUUUCAGCUCACGUUUUUGUCGUUUUGUGUUUCUUUUUUGUCUCGCUUGUGUUUUUUUGUCUUAUUUUUGUCUUUUUGUGUUUUUUUGUGCUUUAUUCAUUGUUUAGUGUGUCGUUUUGGGUUUUCUUGUCUCGUUUUUGUCGAUUGUCCAUUGUUCUGUUGCUUUGUAACUUUUUCUCUCUUUUUUGUUUUAUUUCGUGUCGUUUGUCUCGUUUUUGAUGUUUUGUGUCGCAGUGUUUUGUCUUGUUUUUGCUGUUUUUUCGUCUUUUUUAUCUGACUUUUUGUCGUUUUGAUCAUACAGUAAAACUGGUCCGGUCCACUGGAGAUCAAACUGGGCUGAAUGUGGAACCUGAACUAAAAUGAGUCUGAUGAUCCUGAUCUAUGUGUUAUAUUUGACCACAACACUGGACUUUUCUCAGCAAGUUUUAGGCUGACAGGAUGCUGAUGAAGCUCUUCUACUGCUCCUUUAUCCAGUCAGUUAUCUCGUUUUCCAUCACAUGCUGGUAUGGUAACCAUGGCAACAAGGACAAGAACUCCCUCAGGAGGACAGUAAAAGUAGCUUCUAGUUGGGUGUGUUUUAACAUCUUGAAGACGUUUUUAAUACAGAAGUUAUAAGAAAAGCAGAGUUUUUUCUUAUGGAUGCUCCUUAUCCUCUGGCCUUCGUCUGGCAGGAACCCAGGACACAAAAAACAGGUCCCAGUUCUCCUUAGUGCCUCCAUCCGAGCUCUAAAUGCUGAGAAGAGGAGGUAAUAAACUGUUUUUCCUUUCUUCUGUCCUGCUGCUGCUGCUGCUGACUGAACGACUGAACUCCACCUGACUAAAGGAAUGAUUGCUGCUAAUGUCCGUCUACCUAAUGAUUCAUGCGAUAUUUUAUUGUUUUUAUUCUGUUUUUACAGUUUUGUUUUUUUAAUUUGAAAACAUUUUUUCUAUUUAGUUGUUUAUUGUUUUUAUUGUUUGUUUGUUGUGAACACUCGUGGAAGCUGCUGCAGAACAAAUCACCCUUCAAGGGACAAAUAAUAAAGGUGAAGGUUGUUUUUCUUAGAAUUUGACGAGUCGUUUUACAGAUUUUCCUCAGUUUUCUAAAUGACAGAUAAUGUCCAGCAAAACACAGAAGAAAAGGAUAAAUUUACUUCCUAACUGUAAAAAACAUCCAUUAUCCAUCCAUUAUCUAUACACCACUUAAUCCUCACUAGGGUCAUGGGGGGGGCUGGAGCCUAUCCCAGCUGACUCAGGUGAAGGCAGGGGACACCCUAGACAGGUCACCAGUCUGUCACAGGGCUACAUACAGAGACAAACAAUCACUCUCACAUUCACACCUACGGGCAAUUUAGAAUGAUCAAUUAACCUCAGCAUGUUUUUGGACUGUGGGAGGAAGCCGGAGUACCCGGAGAAAACCCACGCAUGCACAGGGAGAACAUGCAAACUCCAUGCAGAAAGAUCCUGGGAAAGCCGGGACGUGAACCAGGGAUCUUCUAGCUGCAAGGCGAAAGUGCUAACCACUACACCACUGUGCAGCCCCCUGUAAAAAACAAACAAACAAAAACCAAACAGACUGUCAAUAACAUCCAAAUCAAGAAUCUGUUCAAAAAAUUUAAUCAUGCUGUUUUGCUGUAUUCAAAUGUAAAUAUUAUUUUACAAAUUUUGUCAUUUUUGUGAGAAAAUGUAUGAAAAUUAAGGAUUGAGAUUUGGUUCAUAUUUUUUUUUUCAUUUAUGAAUUUUUUUUACAGAGUUUCUCCAUUUAUUUAAAUUACAGAUAAUAUCUGUGAAUUUACAUGUUAACUUUAAAACAUUAAUAAAAACAUUAGGUGCCGUUGUUUCGCUGUAUCCAGAUCUUAGACUCUAUCUGCCAUUAUUUCAAAGAAAAUGAAUGUGUUUUGAGGAUUUCAGAUGGUAAAUCUUUUUUUGGAGAUUUUUUCCAUUUUGUUAAUUUACAGAUGAUAUUUACAAAUGUAAAAAAAAAAAAAAAUUGUAAUUUACAUGUUAACUGUAAAAAAGAAAAAGAAAGAAAAGAAAAAUAGAUAAAAACUGUCAAUGAUGUUUGCAUCAAAAUGCUGGAAUUAUGUAAUUAUUUUACAGAUAUUUGUUCUUUCUUUCUUUCUUUAACUCUACAG